AGGGAAUAUUGCUUAAUGGGCGAAAGCCUGAAGCAGCAACGCCGCGUGAACGAAGAAGGCCUUCGGGUCGUAAAGUUCUUUUACGUGGGAUGAGGAAGGACAGUACCACGAGAAUAAGUCUCGGCUAACUACGUGCCAGCAGCCGCGGUAAAACGUAGGAGACGAGCGUUAUCCGGAUUUACUGGGCGUAAAGCGCGUGUAGGAGGCGCUACAAGUUGGAUGUGAAAGCUCCCGGCUUAACUGGGAGAGGUCGUUCAAGACUGUAGUGCUAGAGUGAGGCAGGGGUAGAUGGAACUCCGGGAGUAGUGGUGAAAUGCGUAGAUAUCCGGAAGAACACCAGAGGCGAAAGCGAUCUACUGGGCCUAAACUGACACUGAGACGCGAAAGCCAGGGUAGCAAACGG
rnacentral:rRNA from 1 species